rnacentral:rRNA from 1 species
UCUAAUUACGCACUUUUUUUUCGGAAAAGGUGUAAUGAACGUUGAGACGGGUAGGAAGGUCGCGACAGUGUUGCUUUGAAGAGUUUUGAGCGUGAGCUCGCUCGGAGCCGCUGUUGGUGCAGAUCUUGGUGGUAGUAGCAAAUAUUCAAGUGAGAACCUUGAAGGCUGAAGUGGAGCAAGGUUCCAUGUGAACAGCAGUUGGACAUGGGUCAGUCGAUCCUAAGAAAACGGCGAAAGCUUGUUCGAAUUUGCGACAUGAAUUGUAAGACUGAAUAAUUAUUUGUGUGUGUGUUGUGGUGGAGGCGAUUGUGUCGUCACCAGUUGUUGUUGUGUGCAGUUGUCGUAUGUUUUCGAAAGGGAAUCCGGUUGAUAUUCCGGAACCGAGUAACGGAGACAAAGAGUAGCGCUUUAAUCUCUCUGUGGGGUUGGCGUUCAACUCAAUCGCGCGGUAACGCAAGCGAACUCGGAAAAUGACCGUCGUGAGUUUCGAAAAGAGUUUUCUUUUCUUUUUAAGGGACGCAUUCCCUGGAACCGGGUUGUCCGGAGAUAGGGAUUC